UUUCAUUUCCUAUACAAGCAUGAGAGAAGUUAUGUUUUAUAAUCCAAACUAAUACCACCUAAUAAUUUAAAAGUCAUAUAGAGAGUCAAAAAUUUGCCACAACAUUAUUGACUUCCACACAACUUGUUUUCAAAAAAAUUUGUUGGAGAGGUAUACUCAUUUCAACAUUUUAAUAUGCAAGACUAACUCUAUUAGGACGAAACAAC
rnacentral:lncRNA from 1 species